CCAGUAUGAACAAUGGCUGGUUAUGGCUUUACAAAAUAAAAACCAUAUUUUAAUAUUCUGCAGGAAAGUCGCCGAGGCAAAACGUUUAGUGAUGGACUCUUGCAAGAAGCUUGAAGAAACCUCCUCAGACCGAAAUAAUUAGAAGGUACUACAUUUUAGAAUUGAAGAGCUAUGCAUUCUUUUAUCGCGCGCAAUUUUGCAAAAAUUUAAACAAAUGGAUAAAACAAAUAUUUUGACCGAGUUCCCAGAGCAAAUCUUCAUCAAGUAUUUGCUAUCCGAAUGUAAAAAUAACUUUUAUAAUGGAAUCAAAGCUCUUCGACCAAUAGUUCAACUAAUUUGUAGAAUUUUUACACCCUAUGUAUUCACUGGCAGAUAUUGAAGUCUACUCUGUUUUACCAUUUUUCGGAAUGCGAUGAUUUUAAAAUAGUUCAUUAUAUGAAAAUAACUAUUUUAAUUAAAAUAUUUCAAAUAGUCCAAAUAGACUCAAUCUGGCUAAAUCUCAAUACCAUGUCAAGCACUAUUUCACGCAGUUGAUGUUGGCAUACAGUAGAUGUGGCAUGCUUUAUAUUGGAGAAACUGGAAGACCUUUGAGGACAAUGUUUGGUGAGCAUCGGCGUGUAGUCAUUGGCAAUGAAUGCUAACCAGCCUGUUGCCAUGAGACAUUUCAAUACUGGCAAUCACAGAGUUUCAGAUAUGGAAAUUCGAGCCCUCUGUCCCAUUUCUGGUCGCAACGAUAGCCGAAAAAGACAUGAAAUCAGGCUUUCUUGCCAUCCUACUUUUCCUACUUUUUCCUACUGUUCUUCAACUUUCCUACUUUUCCUAUUUUUUAUUAAAAAUUGCUUGAUUUUCCUACUUUUUCUCAUAAAAUCCUACUUUUUUAAGGCAUCUUGGGGAAUCAGUAUGUUAAUGUCUUAACUGUUUGUUUACCUAUAGGACUCGUAAUUUUUAUUCCCUAUUCGUGUCCAAGAUGAUGAGAUCUCAAGAUGAGAAGAAGUACAUUUUCCCAGUGAUCUCUAGAAUCAUAAUCAAUAAAUUAAUGAAGACUCUAAAAAUGCCAUUUCCGACGAUUUAGCGAU